rnacentral:rRNA from 1 species
UACGGAGGGUGCAAGCGUUAUCCGGAUUCACUGGGUUUAAAGGGUGCGUAGGUGGGUCUGUAAGUCAGUGGUGAAAUCUCCAAGCUUAACUUGGAAACUGCCGUUGAUACUAUAGAUCUUGAAUGUUGUGGAGGUGAGCGGAAUAUGUCAUGUAGCGGUGAAAUGCUUAGAUAUGACAUAGAACACCAAUUGCGAAGGCAGCUCACUACACAAUUAUUGACUCUGAGGCACGAAAGCGUGGGGAUCAAACAGG